GCAAGUCGAGCGGGCGAGGUUGCUUCGGUAACUGAGCUAGCGGCGGACGGGUGAGUAAAGCUUAGGAAUCUGCCUAUUAGUGGGGGACAACAUUCCGAAAGGGAUGCUAAUACCGCAUACGUCCUACGGGAGAAAGCAGGGGAUCACUUGUGACCUUGCGCUAAUAGAUGAGCCUAAGUCGGAUUAGCUAGUUGGUGGGGUAAAGGCCUACCAAGGCGACGAUCUGUAGCGGGUCUGAGAGGAUGAUCCGCCACACUGGGACUGAGACACGGCCCAGACUCCUACGGGAGGCAGCAGUGGGGAAUAUUGGACAAUGGGGGGAACCCUGAUCCAGCCAUGCCGCGUGUGUGAAGAAGGCCUUUUGGUUGUAAAGCACUUUAAGCGAGGAGGAGGCUUACCUGGUUAAUACCUGGGAUAAGUGGACGUUACUCGCAGAAUAAGCACCGGCUAACUCUGUGCCAGCAGCCGCGGUAAUACAGAGGGUGCGAGCGUUAAUCGGAUUUACUGGGCGUAAAGCGCGCGUAGGUGGUUAAUUAAGUCAAAUGUGAAAUCCCCGAGCUUAACUUGGGAAUUGCAUUCGAUACUGGUUAGCUAGAGUAUGGGAGAGGAUGGUAGAAUUCCAGGUGUAGCGGUGAAAUGCGUAGAGAUCUGGAGGAAUACCGAUGGCGAAGGCAGCCAUCUGGCCUAAUACUGACACUGAGGUGCGAAAGCAUGGGGAGCAAACAGGAUUAGAUACCCUGGUAGUCCAUGCCGUAAACGAUGUCUACUAGCCGUUGGGGGAUUUGAUCCUUUAGUGGCGCAGCUAACGCGAUAAGUAGACCGCCUGGGGAGUACGGUCGCAAGACUAAAACUCAAAUGAAUUGACGGGGGCCCGCACAAGCGGUGGAGCAUGUGGUUUAAUUCGAUGCAACGCGAAGAACCUUACCUGGCCUUGACAUAGUAGAGACUUUCCAGAGAUGGAUUGGUGCCUUCGGGAAUC
rnacentral:rRNA from 1 species